rnacentral:rRNA from 1 species
CCUACGGGAGGCAGCAGUGAGGAAUAUUGGUCAAUGGUCGGAAGACUGAACCAGCCAAGUCGCGUGAGGGAAGAAGGUACUGUGGAUUGUAAACUUCUUUUGUAGGGGAAUAAAGGUAUGCACGUGUGCACCUUUGCAUGUACCCUAUGAAUAAGCAUCGGCUAACUCCGUGCCAGCAGCCGCUGUAAUACGGAGGAUGCGAGCGUUAUCCGGAUUUAUUGGGUUUAAAGGGUGCGUAGGCGGUUUUUUAAGUCAGCGGUGAAAGUUUGUGGCUCAACCCCAAAAUUGCCGUUGAAACUGGAAGACUUGAGUGGGUUUGAGGUAGGCGGAAUGCGUGGUGUAGCGGUGAAAUGCAUAGAUAUCACGCAGAACUCCGAUUGCGAAGGCAGCUUACUAAGCCAAAACUGACACUGAGGCACGAAAGCGUGGGUAUCAAACAGGAUUAGAUACCCCAGUAGUC